ACUGCAAAGAAUCACCGAAUCGUAUAACAGACCAAUCGUGCAACAUGGAAUAGUGAGAAAUAGAAUACUAUUCAGAGAUAGCUAGCUAAGUUUACCAUUUGCAGAGAAGACAUGAUGAUGAUGAUUGUUGUUGUUGUUGUUGUUGUCGGAUGAGGACUGGUGAUUUUAGAACCUGGUCGGAUGGCUUUUAUACCCAGCGAGUUAUGCUAGAACAGUGGGGAAGAAAAUUACGAUGACGGCUUCAACACAUAAUGCUCCCUCAAGCCUUUCUCCCGCCUCCCCUUUCUGACCGCAUGCAUCGUCGUUCGCCGUUUUUCGUAGCCGCGGGAUGGAGGUGCCCUCACUGGUAGGUUUUUAUUGCUUUGCCACCAAAGUAUACCAACGUCCUUAUGAUAGUUCGUUUUUUCGCGAAUUUUAUCCUGAGAGGGUACGACAUGGUAUUACGGUACAAAAGGAAGGAGCAUGGUUCAGAAAUCAGUUCAACAGACGAUAUAAACAUCAACAACUGCACAUUUGCAUCAACCUUGCAACAUUAAAGUUAAUUUUUUUUUACAUUGCUUAACCCUUGAUAAGAAUUUGAAAUUAUCCCAGAAAUAGAUUUCGAAGCAUUAGGAUAAAUAUGGUUAAAAUUCACAUGUUUAUACACCGUUAGCUAUAUUCGAGUAGAAGAAUUUCGGUUUCACAACCCAUUAAAGCGCAUGAUAACAUAACGAAGUAAGAAGCGCCUAACUACGAAUUAUUUAUGGACUAGUUUUAUGUUCAUUUGAUGUUGAUUCUGUACACUGUAAGAUAAAACAUUGAAUGAUUCUCUUUUCUCAAUUUAUUAGAGUGCGUCAAAUAUGUACAAUGUAUCGAAAGUUUCAACCAAACAUGUCCGUUUAGCAGGACGAAGUUAUAAGAAGAGACUCGAGUCGUUUAUUUUGGCAAAUAUAAAUGACAACCAUUUCAAACAGUUUUUAGUUACCUACCCGUAACACAAAUUCAUCAUAAAUGUGAA